rnacentral:rRNA from 1 species
GACGAACGCUGGCGGCGUGCUUAACACAUGCAAGUCGAACGGAAAGGCCCUGCUUUUGUGGGGUGCUCGAGUGGCGAACGGGUGAGUAACACGUGAGUAACCUGCCCUUGACUUUGGUAUAACUUCAGGAAACUGGGGCUAAUACCGGAUAGGAGCUCCUGCUGCAUGGUGGGGGUUGGACAGUUUCGGCGGUUGGGGAUGGACUCGCGGCUUAUCAGCUUGUUGGUGGGGUAGUGGCUUACCAAGGCUUUGACGGGUAGCCGGCCUGAGAGGGUGACCGGACACAUUGGGACUGAGAUACGGCACAGACUCAUACGGGAGGCAGCAGUGGGGAAUAUUGCACAAUGGGCGGAAGCCUGAUGCAGCAACGCCGCGUGCGGGAUGACGGCCUGCGGGUUGUAAACCGCUUUCGCCUGUGAAGAAGAGUGAGUGACGGUAAUGGGUAAAGAAGCACCGGCUAACUACGUG